AACGAACGCUGGCGGCAUGCCUAACACAUGCAAGUCGAACGAGACCUUCGGGUCUAGUGGCGCACGGGUGCGUAACGCGUGGGAACUUGCCUUUAGGCUCGGAAUAACUCCCCGAAAGGGGUGCUAAUACCGGAUAAUGUCUUCGGACCAAAGAUUUAUCGCCUUUGGAUGGGCCCGCGUUGGAUUAGCUAGUUGGUAGGGUAAAAGCCUACCAAGGCGACGAUCCAUAGCUGGUCUGAGAGGAUGAUCAGCCACACUGGGACUGAGACACGGCCCAGACUCCUACGGGAGGCAGCAGUGGGGAAUAUUAGACAAUGGGCGAAAGCCUGAUCCAGCAAUGCCGCGUGAGUGAUGAAGGCCUUAGGGUUGUAAAGCUCUUUUGCCCGGGAUGAUAAUGACAGUACCGGGAGAAUGAGCUCCGGCUAACUCCGUG
rnacentral:rRNA from 1 species